UGUAAACCCAAAACUACACCCCCCUCUCUCUCUCUCUCACACACACCCACAAACACACACACACACACACAAACACACACAACUAUAAACCAGAUCAACCCUAGCCUUCUCACUACCUGAAGAGUGCAAGUUUUGAGUCUGUGAUGUGCUGAGAAAUGAAGGAUUUGAGCAUUUGAGAGAUCAGCUAGGAAGGUAUAUGGAGAAGAAGGAGAUGGCUGUGAAGACUGAGGAUGCGGUUGGGUCCUCUUCCUUCCCUUGUUACAAUUCAAACGGUUAUCCAUUCUCAAGCGUGUUUGAUUUCUCUGAGGUGGAAAAGAACUCUUUAGGGUUUAUGGAGUUACUGGGUGUUCAGGACUAUAGUCCUCUGCUUGAGUUACCUCAACUAUCCAGUUUGAGUGUGCCUCAUCACUCUACAGUUAAGCUUCCAUCUGAUACUGGAAAAGAGUGUUCAGAGGUGUUGAACCAGCAACCUGCCACUCCAAACUCUUCUUCUAUUUCAUCUACAUCCAGCGAGGCAGUUAAUGAUGAACAGAAUAAGACUGUAGACCAAGCAGGAGAAGAAGAAGAAGAUGAAGAAGAAGAGCAGAAGACUAAGAAACAGUUGAAGCCCAAGAAGACAAAUCAGAAGAGACAGAGAGAACCAAGAUUCGCGUUCAUGACGAAAAGCGAGGUCGAUCAUCUGGAAGAUGGGUACAGAUGGAGAAAGUACGGUCAAAAGGCUGUGAAAAACAGCCCCUUUCCCAGGAGCUAUUAUCGUUGCACCAGUGUUUCAUGUAAUGUGAAGAAACGUGUGGAGCGAUCUUUCACUGAUCCCAGCAUUGUAGUGACAACCUAUGAAGGACAACACACACAUCCAAGCCCAGUCAUGCCACGCUCAGGUGUCUCCGCUGGAUACGCCACCAACUUUGGUUCAGUUUUGCCACCAGGAAACUACUUAUCCCAGUAUCAGCACCACAACCCUCAUCAACAACAACAACUCCUUGUCAACUCAUUGUCCUCUAUGGGCUUCCCUUACAACGAUUCUUCAUCUCCAAAGAACGCCGCUUUUGCUCAAGAGAGACGGCUUUGUAAUCCAGGGACGAAUGCAUUUCUAAGAGACCAUGGGCUUCUUCAAGAUGUUGUUCCUUCGCACAUGUUGAAAGAAGAGUAGAUGAUAGCUCCAUUACUCAUGCUUCUAUGUGAUUUAUUUUUUGCUGACUUUUUCUAUGGAUUUAGGAAUGUGCAUUGAUUUCACAUAUGUACAGCAGUGAAGAUUGUUAGGAGGAUGUGGUGGUGAAAGUCUUAUCCCAAUAUGGGGCACGGGGUUAUAAAUAAGAAGAGUAAUUCAACCACUCCGAUCCACUUUGAGAGGGAUGAGUAAAUGCCUGUGUGUAUUCUGCACGCGAUGCGAUCCAUUCAUGGAUUGAAGAUUGGUAGAGACGGGUGGGAUUAGAAAAGAAGAAAAACAAAAGGAGAAAAAUUUAUACAAGCUAAGCAUAUCGAGUGUGAUAUGGUCACUAUGAUGGAAUAGAUCUUGAUAACGACACAUGUUAGCUUUAUUUAUGAAGGCAUCAAGACACCUCGUGCUUGUUUACAAGUUUUGUUUUAUUGAGCAGUUGAGUCUCUUAUUGUGGAGAAUAAUUGAAGUUUUUGAUGGCCGUUCACGGAUAGGCAUAGGCUAACAUAUUGAAAGAUGUUAUAUACGACACGCCACCGUC